rnacentral:rRNA from 1 species
ACGAUACGUAGCCGACCUGAGAGGGUGAUCGGCCACACUGGAACUGAGACACGGUCCAGACUCCUACGGGAGGCAGCAGUAGGGAAUCUUCCGCAAUGGGCGAAAGCCUGACGGAGCAACGCCGCGUGAGUGAUGAAGGUCUUCGGAUCGUAAAGCUCUGUUGUUAGGGAAGAACAAAUGUGUAAGUAACUGUGCACAUCUUGACGGUACCUAACCAGAAAGCCACGGCUAACUACGUGCCAGCAGCCGCGGUAAUACGUAGGUGGCAAGCGUUAUCCGGAAUUAUUGGGCGUAAAGCGCGCGUAGGCGGUUUUUUAAGUCUGAUGUGAAAGCCCACGGCUCAACCGUGGAGGGUCAUUGGAAACUGGAAAACUUGAGUGCAGAAGAGGAAAGUGGAAUUCCAUGUGUAGCGGUGAAAUGCGCAGAGAUAUGGAGGAACACCAGUGGCGAAGGCGGCUUUCUGGUCUGUAACUGACGCUGAUGUGCGAAAGCGUGGGGAUCAAACAGGAUUAGAUACCCUGGUAGUCCACGCCGUAAACGAUGAGUGCUAAGUGUUAGGGGGUUUCCGCCCCUUAGUGCUGCAGCUAACGCAUUAAGCACUCCGCCUGGGGAGUACGGUCGCAAGACUGAAACUCAAAGGAAUUGACGGGGACCCGCACAAGCGGUGGAGCAUGUGGUUUAAUUCGAAGCAACGCGAAGAACCUUACCAAAUCUUGACAUCUUUUGACCGCUCUAGAGAUAGAGUUUUCCUCUUCGGAGGACAAAAUGACAGGUGGUGCAUGGUUGUCGUCAGCUCGUGUCGUGAGAUGUUGGGUUAAGUCCCGCAACGAGCGCAACCCUUGAGCUUAGUUGCCAUCAUUAAGUUGGGCACUCUAAGUUGACUGCCGGUGACAAACCGGAGGAAGGUGGGGAUGACGUCAAAUCAUCAUGCCCCUUAUGAUUUGGGCUACACACGUGCUACAAUGGACAAUACAAAGGGCAGCAAAACCGCGAGGUCAAGCAAAUCCCAUAAAGUUGUUCUCAGUUCGGAUUGUAGUCUGCAACUCGACUACAUGAAGCUGGAAUCGCUAGUAAUCGUAGAUCAGCAUGCUACGGUGAAUACGUUCCCGGGUCUUGUACACACCGCCCGUCACACCACGAGAGUUUGUAACACCCGAAGCCGGUGGAGUAACCAUUUGGAGCUAGCCGUCGAAGGUGGGACAAAUGAUUGGGGUGAAGUCGUAACAAGGUAGCCGUAUCGGAAGGUGCGGCUGGAUCACCUCCUUUCUAAGGA